GUUUGAUCCUGGCUCAGGAUGAACGCUAGCUACAGGCUUAACACAUGCAAGUCGAGGGGCAGCAUGGUCUUAGCUUGCUAAGGCCGAUGGCGACCGGCGCACGGGUGAGUAACACGUAUCCAACCUGCCGUCUACUCUUGGACAGCCUUCUGAAAGGAAGAUUAAUACAAGAUGGCAUCAUGAGUCCGCAUGUUCACAUGAUUAAAGGUAUUCCGGUAGACGAUGGGGAUGCGUUCCAUUAGAUAGUAGGCGGGGUAACGGCCCACCUAGUCUUCGAUGGAUAGGGGUUCUGAGAGGAAGGUCCCCCACAUUGGAACUGAGACACGGUCCAAACUCCUACGGGAGGCAGCAGUGAGGAAUAUUGGUCAAUGGGCGAGAGCCUGAACCAGCCAAGUAGCGUGAAGGAUGACUGCCCUAUGGGUUGUAAACUUCUUUUAUACGGGAAUAAAGUGAGGCACGUGUGCCUUUUUGUAUGUACCGUAUGAAUAAGGAUCGGCUAACUCCGUGCCAGCAGCCGCGGUAAUACGGAGGAUCCGAGCGUUAUCCGGAUUUAUUGGGUUUAAAGGGAGCGUAGAUGGAUAUUUAAGUCAGUUGUGAAAGUUUGCGGCUCAACCGUAAAAUUGCAGUUGAUACUGGAUAUCUUGAGUGCAGUUGAGGCAGGCGGAAUUCGUGGUGUAGCGGUGAAAUGCUUAGAUAUCACGAAGAACUCCGAUUGCGAAGGCAGCCUGCUAAGCUGCAACUGACAUUGAGGCUCGAAAGUGUGGGUAUCAAACAGGAUUAGAUACCCUGGUAGUCCACACGGUAAACGAUGAAUACUCGCUGUUUGCGAUAUACUGCAAGCGGCCAAGCGAAAGCGUUAAGUAUUCCACCUGGGGAGUACGCCGGCAACGGUGAAACUCAAAGGAAUUGACGGGGGCCC
rnacentral:rRNA from 1 species